UACAAACAUAAACAACGCCCCUAGAGCCACGUAGUCUUUAAUUUAAACGUCUGUACAUAAUAUACAGAUGUACGUGUUUCAACAAAACUUGCAAUAGACAACGGUUCUGUGAUAGGCCUGGACCCAGUUAUUACAAAGACGUGUACUCAGCGCUGUUGUAGCGCAUUUGUUCAGUAGAUACCAAGUUGAAACCAUCCAGUGCAUUUCCGCCUCCUAGCUUUGAUUUGGUUUCAAGUUUCGUUUCAACCUGAAAUAUUAGCCAGAAUGAAGGUUUACGUGUGCCUGCUUCUCCUGAUGGUCGUUGGAUGUGCCUUGUGUUUUGCAGAGAACUCGCCUACCGAGAAGUUGAGGCAAGAACUGAAAUCUCGCCGCAGUCGCGGGAUAAUGGAUGAGAUUUUUUGCGAUUCUAGUGCCGAAUGUGGUCGAGGACUAUAUUGUUCUUUCCCUCCCUACGAGGGAGGUACGGGCAUGUGCUGGCGGGUUGGAAACCCGGGACGUUAGGAAUUCGGACAAUCAACAUGAAUGAAUUAAACCAUGAUCGUCAAUGGUUAACCGACAGCAAGGCCUUAGUCUGAUUAAAUAAAAUGAUUUGACUUUAAUUCAGCUUUUUUCUUUCCUGAUAAGAUUGUCUCAUUUUUGUUUACGAUACUGGGUCCGUGUUCCAGCCAGUUUUUUUUUCAUUGAUUCUGUGACAGUGCUGUUCACGUGUAAAGGCUGCUCACUCUGAAUUUAAAGAGCACUUUUGAAAUCAAAAUGAAACAAAAAUAUAUAUAAUCGAUCCGUGAAUACGGACAUAUAUUAAACGAUCGGUACAUUUGAUUUUUUUUACAGAACGCAUACAAAUCCUAAAGAUAAAUUCUUCUCGUCAUUUAAAUGGCACGAAAAGUGAGCUCGAAUACGGACUUAAUUAUUAUUUCCACUGUUAUUUGUCUUAAAACAAUAUACGUUUGUUCCUGUCUGUAAUGGUUUUUGUUCUUGGGCUCUUGGGGUAUCAGUGUUGCGUGGUUAUCAUUAUCCGUGAUGAUGGGUAAAAUCCACUUUUGAAAAUACCGUAAAGUUCAAGGGUGCACAAAAGCUAUACUGGUUCUAUAAUACAGGAAGAUGUUCACAUGCAAUCUUAUUUUUCUCGCUGAGGACUAAUAUUAAGUGAUACUAUUCCUUAAAAGAAUGAUUGUUGCCUUAUCGAUUAAAACCUGCCAUUUUGUUGUGUAAAAUACUCAGCCAUAAAUUAUGUAGAUCUUUGUUACCAAUCGCAGAUAGGUUGUCCUUGAUGGAAUUUAUUCUCAUAUAAAAGGUGUUUGUUCACUGUAAAAGAAGAUCCUUCAAAUAGGACUUUGAAAUCAUUUGUUAUUACUUGUGAACGUAGGCUAUGUCUUAUCCUUUUUCAUCCUUCGAUGCUUUCUCUUUCGUAAACGUACUGUGAAUGAUACAUCGUCUUGGCAAAAUAAAUUGACCCUUGCAUGCAUAAUAA